UAGCAAUUCUUGGUUGAUUAUUUCAAAUACUGAGUAUGGAGUAUGUGCAAAAGAUUGUGGGUGAAAGAGUUGAGUAAACGUUUCUUUGACAUUUUAUGAAUUAUCACUUAUACUUUUUUUCUUUUUUGUUUUCCUGCUGUUCAUGAGCUGUAGAAAGCUGUAGAAUUAUUGCUUACAGUUUCACCGACAUCCAGGUGUUCUUAUUUCUUUGUGCUCUAAAGCUUUUUUUUUUUCUGUAGGGGGGCACCAUAUCUAGGUUUUACCACUAAAUGUGGGAGGAAGAAUACUGGCCCUCUAAAGUAUCCACACUCUCUCCCUCACCCCUGAACCUGUGAAUAGGUUACCGUACAGGGCAAAAGGGACUUUGCAGAUGUGGAUUAACUAGGUAGUCCCAAUUUAAUCACAUGAGACUUUAAAAGGGAGAACCUUUCCCAGCUGUAGUCAGAGGGAGCUAUAACUCCAGAAAGAUCAGACAGAUGCAAUGUUGCUGGCUUUGAAGUCACAAACCAAAGAAGGCAGGUGGCUUCCAGAAGCUGGAAAAGUCAAGGAAUUGAUUCUCCCCUAGAACCUCCAGAAAAGAAUGCAACACCUGCAACACUUUGAUUUUUAGCCCAGGAAGACCGGUGUUGGCCUUUUGACCUACAGAAAGGUAAGAUAAUAAAUUGGUGUUGUUUUAAGCCACUAAAUUGGUGGUAAUUUAUUAUGACAGCAAUAGAAAA